UUCGUUUUCUCUUUUGUUUUCUCGGUCUCAAACGUUUUUCGCCAAAACCUCCGAGAACCUCCGCCAUGAUUUCAGAAACACCUCCACCAUGAAAGAAGAACAACGGCUAUGAAAAAUCUGAGACGUGACAUCAGAUUUUAACCCAGGUUGUACAUCUUUGUAGUAAUAGAUGGUAAAGAAGUCUUCAUUCUACGUCGUAGCCCGAGAAUCAUAGAGCACACUCGAAUUCAGCAGUUGAUAGAAACAUCGACUGAACAUAACACAUUACCAGAACUCCGUGGAAGUCCUAGAAUUGUUGACUAAUCUCGAAUUCAAGAGAAGAUGGAUAUGAUAAAUGAAAGGAAAAAGCAACGUCGCCAUGAUUUGGAUCCCCAUAAAAGAUCUCAUGAGCUAUAGCAGCGCCGAAUUCUUGAGAGAGCCAAACAAAGCUCAAUGACAAUGCAUGAAAGGGAAGCUUUCCUUGAAAAGCGACGUAAUCAAUACCGAAUCCGGUCAUCACAACAACUGACUCCAGAACAAAAAUGGAGAACAAGCUGGAACGAGUAAUGUGAACUUCUCAAAGCAGCUUGGUGAUUGUGAUUAUGUACACCGCGGAGCGGGUGGUGCAGACUGAUGGUAGCCAGAUGAUGGACUGGUGGCGCUUUGUUGUUGCUGGCAUGUGUUGUGGACUGUAUGGAAUGGAGGUGAUGUAUGAAGGUUAGGUGGUGAUGCAAGUAAUGGCAUUAUGAGAUGGAAAUGGUGGUCGCAGGUGAAAAGAGACUUGGUGGUGUGUUGUGAAGAUGAGAUGUUGCUGUUUAUGGAGUCUGCAAGGUGAAAGUUUGUUAUACGUGAAAUGGGAAUGAUGGGGGAUGGUCUGAAGAGGAGCAAAGCUUCUCUCUGCUUUCGAGCAGCUCAAACUGUCCGUUGCAGCAUCUAGAAAGCAACAACCUUAGUUAUGUUCGGAAGAGUAGGGAAUGGAAUGUGCUCUUGGUAAUAGCAUCCUUGGAAGGAAGGAAUUUUAUGCAAGGCAUGUGCCCUAGGUGUCACAACUGAAUGCAAAAUGGAUACAACUAUGCAGGAUGAUGGUCAAGUUGUUAAUGUCAUUGACACACCAGGUAUACAUUGCACUUGCAUAAUUUUGCAUUUGAAUUAUCUUUUCUUUUUCUAUGUUUCCACAACAAAUAUAAAAUCUCAAGUGAGGUACCUUACCAAAUUCCCAUGAGUCAUUUUUUUUUCAAGUUUUUUCUGGGAAUUGUAAAUUUCGCACAUGAGAUGGUCAAAUGUAUUAAUCUCGCGAAAGAUGGGAUUGAUGGACAAUUUGAUCAGAGUAUUGCAGGAAGUGCUCUUUUGGAUCUACUUCUUUUAUAUCAUCCAGGAACUGUCCGUUUAACCAUGAUCCUUACACAAUGAUGUCGGCCUUUGGGAGCGCCAUUAGAGAGAAAAUCUGAAGGAUGUGAUGAAAAGAAACUUUUUGGGUCCUGAUGCUGAGAUGAACGCCCAGAAUUCUUAAAGUUAAAUGGUGCGGACUGUUAAAUGAUUGUUGAAUAUAAAUAUCUUCUCUAACUUCUUUUGUAUAUGUUAGUAAUUGAUUUAGUACUAACCAAAGACCAACUUGAAAUGUGGUAUCGUAUAUGGUGGUCAUUAUGUAGUUUUUUUUUUUCCUUU